GGAUCAGUAUGUUGGUCAUGCCUUGGUAUGUACUGGUGUCACUGAUUCCUCCCUUCUGACGAACCUUCAUGCCAUUCACUUGGUGUGAUGGGAAAUCAGGACUGUUACUUUGAAAAAAUUAGAGUGUUCAAAGCAGGCAUUUGCUCGAAUACAUUAGCAUGGAAUAAUAGAAUAGGACCC
rnacentral:rRNA from 1 species